rnacentral:lncRNA from 1 species
AGUUUUCUGUUGACCUAUUGAUUUAAUUGAGAUAUAUAGUGUCAGGUCACAUGUACCAUAUAUAGAAAUAGAAGAUGUGGUAUGAUUUUUUAAUGCCGCAACUCUUCACAAGAGACCAAAAUGACACAGACACUAAAAACUAUAAGUCACCGUUCGGCAUUCAACAAUGGGCAAAGCCCAUAUCGCAUAGUUAGCUAUAAAAUGCCACCGAAUGACAAUGUAAAAGAAUUUAAACGAGAAAACUAACGGCCUUAUGUAUGUACAAAUAAUAAACGAAAAACAAAUAUGUAACACAUAAACAAAAGACAGUCACUGAAUUAUAGGCUUCUGACUUGGGACAGACAAAUACAUACAGAAUGAGACGUGGCUAAACAUGAUAGUUUGACUGAUUUUCCAUUGACAAAGUGUGAGGGUAUCUUCACAAACACCACAGUUUCAUGGCAGCCCUCUGAUUAGUUUACUAGAUGUUUGAACAUGGCCAUGUUGUGAAUGUUAGAUUCUUACCAUUCCAGAG